AAGCCAGUGUUUCUUUGAUAUCCUGUGUUGGUUGUUGCGUAGAGCUCGUUUUUGUAAAGUAUUUUGUAGCUGGUCCUGCUGAGGGGAGAAGGGGAAGGCACCUUGGGAGUGUUUAGGCAAGAGGCCUGCAGGCAUACAUAUACCCGUAGUAUGUACUCUGUCUAUGCACACUAGGACCUGAGCCCUAGGAUCAUGCCUCAGGACUACCUGGCCUGAUGACUCCUGGCUGUCCCCAGUCCACCUGUUCGUGCUGCUGCUCCAGUUUCAACUGUUCUGCUUGUGGCUAGGGAACCAUGACCUGUUCACCAGAUGUGCUACCUUGUCUCAGACCUGCUGUUUUCAACUCUCUCCCUACCGCACCUGCUGUCUCGACCUCUGAAUGCUCGGCUAUAAGAAGCCAACUGACAUUUACUCCUGAGUUACUGACCCGUUGCAGCCUCUACAACCACUGUGAUUAUUAUUUGACCCUGCUGGCCAUGUACUCUUAUAAUCUCCACCCAGCAUAGCCAGAAGAGUGGCCAACCCUCCGAGCCUGUUUCUUUCUAGAUCCUGCCUUUCUAGGGAGUUUUUCCUAGCCACCGUGUUUCUACAUCUGCAUUUUAUGUGGUUUGGGGUUUUAGACUGGGUUUCUGUAUAGCACUGUGUGACAUCUGCUGAUGUGAAAAGGGCUUUAAAAAUACAUUUGAUUGACUACUUGAAGGCAAUUCAAUAUAAUGUGGUGAGCCUACAUUCAAUGUUUUUAAAACACAUAAUUUUUUGUUUUUUAUUUAUUCAUAUAAAGGCUCUCUCCUGUAA